rnacentral:rRNA from 1 species
UACGGAGGGUGCGAGCGUUGUUCGGAAUUACUGGGCGUAAAGGGCGCGUAGGCGGCCUGUUAAGUCGAACGUGAAAUCCCCGGGCUCAACUCGGGAACUGCGUCCGAUACUGGCAGGCUUGAAUCCGGGAGAGGGAUGCGGAAUUCCAGGUGUAGCGGUGAAAUGCGUAGAUAUCUGGAGGAACACCGGUGGCGAAGGCGGCAUCCUGGACCGGCAUUGACGCUGAGGCGCGAAAGCCAGGGGAGCAAACGGG